rnacentral:rRNA from 1 species
UACGUAGGUGGCAAGCGUUAUCCGGAUUUAUUGGGCGUAAAGGGAACGCAGGCGGUCUUUUAAGUCUGAUGUGAAAGCCUUCGGCUUAACCGGAGUAGUGCAUUGGAAACUGGGAGACUUGUGUGCAGAAGAGGAGAGUGGAACUCCAUGUGUAGCGGUGAAAUGCGUAGAUAUAUGGAAGAACACCAGUGGCGAAAGCGGCUCUCUGGUCUGUAACUGACGCUGAGGUUCGAAAGCGUGGGUAGCAAACAGG